UCGUUGAUGGCGUGUAGAGUAGAAUGAAGCGUCCAAGCAAGUGUUCAAUGUAUUGCAGAUGAAGCGCAUAUAUGUAUGAAUGUAUAUGAUUUGCGAAAUUUGACAGUCAAAACAUGAUCGACGACGAUUAUGAAGAGUUUACCAUUUGAUGAGGAUGAACGAUGGCGCGUAGUUAUUGUUGAUAAAUUUAUGUUAAGUGGUAAAUAAUCACCAGUCACCAGAAUAUAAUUUUUAAAUUGUCGUAUUUUGGUGUAGUUGUUGUCGUUGUUAAAUGCAAAAGACGUCGUCCAGCACCGAAUGCGCAAUAGUGCAAGUAUUAUACGAAUAUUUGUCGAACCACAAGGGUAAUAUACACGAUCAUAAGGCAAAAAGCAGCAUUGAAUGAAAAAAUACAUUGACAAUUCAGAGGAAGAAUUGAUAUUUAUGCUACCACCGCAAUUUUGUCUAUUAUGCGGCUUAAUGCUACCGAUGUGAAUGUUGUCCCCAAGUAGAAUUGCAACUAGAUUGUGCCCGUGCCUAUUCUUCAUCGGAAUCACCCUCACUUGAAUAGCCGGUUUGUUGCGGUCGCCGUACAAAUGGUGCUGUUAUAACUUGACUACAAAAUAUGUACAUGGUGAUUUAACCAUUCUUCCAGCAUUUGUGCAACCAACAGCGGUCGUUUUCGCAAUUUCUGCUGCGCCACAAGUAAACCUCCAUCAGUAACGCAC